rnacentral:lncRNA from 1 species
AGCUGGAGGAAUCACAACAUCCCACAUACAGAGCAGUCCAAAUUUCUGCCAAACUCUUCACUGCAUCUUUAACUCAAACCACUUGUACUCUUCGUGAUUGAUGCUUAUAAAAAAAGGCAGACCUAACCCAGGAAAGUCUUCUGCAACCUGGCUCUGACUUCCUUCAAACAAAAACUUAUGUACAGUCAUACAGUUUAACAGCCUGCCCUGAGAGUUCCACAUGGACCUAACACAGCAUUUGAUGAGAUCUAGAGCUGUGCAGAUAAAAGCAAAAGCAACAACAAAAAACUACUGCUACCAGCUCCCUUCCCUCUGAAGUCAUCACAAUUCAGGUUAGGAAGAUCAGUAAGUAAAAAGUACAAGUCAAGUUGAAAAGCUUCUAGUGUGGCCUGCACCAUGAAAGGACUCCGACAGCUUUGCAAUUAUACCUUGUUCCUCCUCAUUCUUCUGUAUUCCAUCUUGGAGCGGUGAAUCUUCAAUCAUCACAAUUUUGUUGGGGCUGACAAAAAAAAGGACAGUCUUCUGACAGCUCUGGAGAGCCUGUAAUUCAUGUUACUUCUUGAAGUAUUUCACUAGCUAGCACCAAAGGUCAGAUGCUUGCUUUCCUUUACUAAGCCUCUCCUUUUCAAGGCUGGUGUUUCUGUCUUGAUAAUGACCAACUUUGUCACCAAGCUGCCUUUUUUCUAACCUGACAUCA